UACGUAGGGUGCGAGCGUUAAUCGGAAUUACUGGGCGUAAAGCGUGCGCAGGCGGUUUUGUAAGCCAGAUGUGAAAUCCCCGGGCUUAACCUGGGAAUGGCAUUUGGGACUGGCAAGGCUGGAGUGCGGCAGAGGAGACUGGAAUUCCUGGUGUAGCAGUGAAAUGCGUAGAUAUCAGGAGGAAUACCGAUGGCGAAGGCAGGUCUCUGGGCUGACACUGACGCUCAUGCACGAAAGCGUGGGGAGCAAACAGGAUUAGAAACCCUAGGUG
rnacentral:rRNA from 1 species